rnacentral:lncRNA from 1 species
AUGUACCUCUCAGCUGCUACUGAGAGGCGGUCAGUCAGACGGCUCAGCGCCGACCCCCGUCCGCCUGGGAGAGUCUGCACUAUUAGUGCAGGCGCCGCCUCUCCGCGCUGUCUGGGGAAGGGGCGCGAGCCGCCGCAGCGGGCCGCCGGCCUGAGCGUGGGGAGGGGCUCCCGAACGUUCCCACCCAGCCCCGGUCGCCAUCUUCCGGCGCGUUCUUUCCCGCGCGGGCUCCAGCCCGGACUCUCUGCCCUCUGCUUGUCCGGGAAGGGGCUUCUAACCCGCGGAGACCACUGGCCGGGCGCAUCGCGGAGGUGCGGGCCAGAGCCCAUCCCCGCAGGCGGGGCAGGGGGCGGGGCCAGCCCGGCGGCAGCUGCGCGGCGGCGCGGCCCUCCCGCGGCUCUCGGAGCGCGCACCGCCUCUCGCCCCGCCUGCGCGCGAGCCUGGGCGUGGAGGGAGGGGCCAGGAAGCGGCGAGCGCGCCGGGGAGCGCAGCUGCGGGCGUGGGGGGACAGCAGCCGCGGAGCCGGCGCCGAGAGCGGCUGCUGCCGGAGCGAGCGGCGGAGACAAAAGGCUACGGUCUGGGCGACGUCCUCCUGCGGACCGUGGCUUUGGUUUUUCUUCCAUUCCUUCUGGGAGAGGGUUCCAGACUCUGUUCCGGAUUCAAGACUGGCGGACGGGUGAGAGCCCACUGCCCCCCUGUUGUAAAAUGGAAAUGAAGGCUCCCCCUCCCCCAAACUUUGCCUGUCUGGAAGUCGGGAGGGUGGUGCAAGGGGCGGGUGGAGAGGGCCCGGGUCCUCCAGGUGAGAGUUUCGGCGGGGCGGGGCCCGCGGCUCGGAGUCGGACUCUAGCCCGGGGCGUCCGGCGCGAGCGCCCGCGGGUCUCGCCGCGGUUCGCUUUGGGCCGCGGAGAAAAAGCCCUGACCACCUCCGAAGAGCAGCUCAUCCUACUCUUACAGGUUGUUUUACCCAGCGCUUGCCGCCUUACUAGUGAUUUUUUGGUAGCGGGUGUGGUAGUUAGUGGCUCGCUGAUGCCGCAUGAAUAG